UCAAAAGCUUCACACACUCUUGAUCAAGACAGUGUGAAGCAAAACCCAUUUAUGGUGCGAACAAAAGCUUCAUCAAUGGAGGGCAACUACAAUUCUCAAACCUUCGAAACAAAUUCAAGACUGUUCGAAGCAAAUUCAAUUUAUAUGGUUCACCUAACCUUCGACUACUAUGAGGUGUGGCUUGCAUCAAAAUCUCUUGCUCAACAGUGUGGAAGCAAAAUUUGUAUAUGUUGUCUCUCCCACAUUUUCAAAUUUCUAGUUUCCCAACAAAAAAAAAAAAGAAAUUCAACAAAGCUUCAUCAAUGGAGGACAACUACAAAUUCUCAAAAGCUUCACACUAUUUUGAUCAAGAUAGUGUGAAGCAAAAUCAAUUCAUAGUACCCAACAAAAGCUUCACUUCAACUCCAAAGCUUCACCAACAAAAGCUUCAUCGAUGGAGGACAACUACAAAUUCUCAAAAGCUUCACACUAUCUUGAUCAAGACAAUGUGAAGCAAAUCAAUUCAUAGUACCCAACAAAAGCUUCAACUUCAAAGCUUCGCCUACAAAGCUUCAACACAAAAGCUUCACCAACAAAAGCUUUAUCAAUGGAGGACAACUACAAAUUCUCAAAAGCUUCACACUAUCUUGAUCAAGAUAGUGUGAAGCAAAAUCAAUUCAUAGUACCCAACAAAAGCUUCACCAACAAAAGCUUCAACUCCAAAGCUUCACCAACAAAAGCUUCAUCAAUGGAGGACAACUACAAAUCCUCAAAAGCUUCACACUAUCUUGAUCAAGACAGUGUGAAGCAAAUCAAUUCAUG
rnacentral:lncRNA from 1 species